CCCGAGCUGUCGUAAAAGCCCAACCCAAUGGGUCUUUCCUGCAAAGGUUGGCAGCAAAUAACGCCAUGCGCACGCAGGGGCGUUAUGUUGUGCCGGCUGAAAAAUAGCCGGCGUA
rnacentral:sRNA from 1 species